GAGAAAACUGGCGGAUUUCAAGUAAUCAAGCAAUCAAAGGUGGUGACCAUUUUGGUAAAAGUAAAGGGAUAGUACCCGAGGAUCAAGAAUCGUAGUACUCCGAAUUCGACUCCUGAAAUUGUUAUUGAUUAGUCGCUGCAGUGGACGGGUUCCGUG